ACAGAGUUCUAUUCGUUUACCACA
rnacentral:siRNA from 1 species